ensembl:lncRNA
GCUGAGGGCUGGGGGUGGGAAUGGAGUUAGCUGAGGGCUGGGGAUGGGAAUGGUGUUAGCUGAGGGCUGGAGGUGGGAUUGGAGUUAGCUGGGGCUGAGAGGUGGGAAUGGAGUUAGCUGGGGCUGAGGGCUGAGAGGUGGGAAUGGAGUUAGCUGGGACUGAGGGCUGAGAGGUGGGAAUGGAGUUAGCUGAGGGCUGGGGGUGGGAAUGGAAUUAGCUGGGGCUGAGGGCUGGGGGGGAAUGGGGUUAGCUGAGGGCUGGGGGUGGGAAUGGAGUUGGCUGAGGGCUGGGGGUGGGAAUGGAAUUAGCUGGGGCUGAGGGCUGAGAGGUGGGAAUGGAGUUAGCUGGGGCUGAGGGCUGGAG